rnacentral:rRNA from 1 species
GAUGAACGCUGGCGGCGUGCCUAAUACAUGCAAGUCGAGCGAACGGACGAGAAGCUUGCUUCUCUGAUGUUAGCGGCGGACGGGUGAGUAACACGUAGAUAACCUACCUAUAAGACUGGGAUAACUUCGGGAAACCGGAGCUAAUACCGGAUAAUAUUUUGAACCGCAUGGUUCAAAAGUGAAAGACGGUCUUGCUGUCACUUAUAGAUGGAUCCGCGCUGCAUUAGCUAGUUGGUAAGGUAACGGCUUACCAAGGCAACGAUGCAUAGCCGACCUGAGAGGGUGAUCGGCCACACUGGAACUGAGACACGGUCCAGACUCCUACGGGAGGCAGCAGUAGGGAAUCUUCCGCAAAGGGCGAAAGCCUGACGGAGCAACGCCGCGUGAGUGAUGAAGGUCUUCGGAUCGUAAAACUCUGUUAUUAGGGAAGAACAUAUGUGUAAGUAACUGUGCACAUCUUGACGGUACCUAAUCAGAAAGCCACGGCUAACUACGUG